AUGGCCGCCCCCGCCGCCGCUGAGGGGAGCGGAAGCGCAGCCCCUGGGCCGCCGCACCGGCGGGAAGCGGAAGCGCUGCCCUGCGAGGGGCGGCGCAAGGGCGGCCGGCGCGGGCCGUUCGCAGCCGGGGCCAUGGACCGCUACGUCCUGCUGCUGCGCUGGGGGGAGCGCCGGGGCGAGGGCGCCGGGGCAGCCGGGACUGCUGCAAACAUGUAUCAGCUUCUGAAGGCAAGCUGUGACUCCUCUGCAAACGCAGAUUUGAGCAUGUUCCCAGCAUGUUCAGUGGCUGGUAUUCCAGGGCCAAAGAAAUGGUAUUUUGCAAGUCAUGUUAUAUGCGGUUAUUAUCAGUUCUGCAGUUCUGACUGGGAGGAAAUAAAUGCUGACACACAGAAAAACGAAGAUUCUCUCCAAACAAAUAUUGAUGAGUGCCUGGGAGCCAUACAAAAUUUUGAGGAAGAUGACAGUAACAGCAGAGAGUCACUGUCUAUGACUGAUAUCUAUGAUGAAGCUGCAGAAAGUUUGCAUCAGUUAGCUGAUAAACUGCCUGCCCCAGGCAGAGCAAUGGUUGAUGUAAUACUGCAGGCAGUUGAACAAGAUGGACCCAAGCUAAAAGACUGCUUACCAGCUAUUGGUGCCCUGAAACACCUGAGAGAAUGGCACUCCGCACAAAUCACUAUUGCAGCAAAUGACUCUAAAGGUAGCUGGCAAAAGAUUGCAGACUAUCUCUCAGCAGACUUUGUAUCCUCAGAUAAUGUCAUGAAUAUUAUUGAUAGAAAAGAACUCUGGAGAGGAAAGAUUCAUAUAUGGGAAAGAAAGUUUGGAUCAGAAGUUAGGUUUCCAGAAUUUUGUAUGAAGAGCACUUCAGCAAAGACAUUCAGCACAUCACAUUUAAGUUCUUUCUUUGCUGUUAAAAGAGAGCGACAAUCAAGGAAUACUGAUGCUUUGCCAGAGGUUUUUCAUUACUAUGGUCCUGCACUAGAGUUUUUACAGAUGGUGGUGCUCUCUGAUCUACCUUCCUUUUUUAUAUCGGAUCUGGAGUUUGAGCUGAGCCUGGCAAGAAAGAGUAUCAAGGAAACAUCCACUCUGCUUUUGGACCAGAUUUCUUUUGUCUCUGGGAAGGUGGGAGCGUUAUUUACACUGCCAUGUAGUGUAAGCAGUGUCAUGAUCCCAUCCCCUGCCCAGCUGAGUACCAAGAAAUGGAAAGAAUAUAUGGCUAGGAAACCCAAGGUCAUUACUGUUCCAGAAAUUGAACUGAAGGGAGAAUUGUGCCGAUAUUAUUUCUUGCUACAAGGCAAUGGCUCUGGAGGAUGUAAAGCAACCUUGAUUCAUUCAGCUAGCCAGAUCAAUGGUACAGCCGCUCUUGCUGCAGUAAAUGGAAAGUUAAAGACAAAAACAGAAGAAAGAGAGUCAAGUAAGAGCUUUCAUAUUGCUGACUUUAUCAAGUCUCUGCCACAUUUUUGUGGAGAGGAGAUUUUAGAGAGAGAAAAGAAACUGUCUCGUCUCCAAGUGUUUGCCUUGAAGGAAUAUUUCAAGAGAAAGGAAUUGACCAAGCAGCGUCCAGUUAUUUCAACUGAUGAGUUCAAAAACUUGUUGGAGCUUACAAGAGAGUGUUUUUUGGACCUAUGCAACACUAGUCUUCCUAAGCCUGUUCUACAGAAGGUUACCAAGAAAACUGCGUCGUGCGCUGUGACUUCUGAAUUAGAUUUAAUGGAGCCAAAUCCAAUGGAGUGGCCAGAAAGACAUGUUCUUCAGAAUUUUGAAAACUUUGAAAAAAACAAACAAAAAAUGAGCAUUUCUGUGUUUGCACAUUCAUCUGAGCAAUUGCUGGGGCAUAAAGAUAGCCAGCGGGAGUCAUUGACAUUGCUCGAUGCUAAAGAAUUGCUGAAAUAUUUCACACCAGAAGGGCUACCUGUUGGUGAUCUUCAGCCACUACGAAUUCCCAAGCGUGAAAACUCAUUUCUUUUGACACCAGAGCUUACUCCUCGGAAACUCAGAGGUUUGCCUUUUGAAAAAGCAGCUGGAUGCCAUUAUCAUGGACUUGAAUAUUGUCUAGAUAACAGAAGAGCCUUAGAGAGAGAUGUGGGAUAUGCUGAACUUCAGACUCGUCUUAUUCGCUAUGAAACUCAGACUACUUGCACCAAAGAGUGCUGCCCUGUGCCAGUCGUCUUGAGCCCACUCCCAUCUCCUGCAGUCUUGUCAGAGCCUGGAAGUGUCCCUGACGGAGAGUCUUUACAAAGCGAAUUCAAAACAGAGGCAUCAAGGCUAAAAUGCAGAUCAAAAGACUUGGAUUGCUUUUAUCCCAAGAAAAGGCUAACCAAAUCUAAGAGUACAGAUUCCCUCCUCUCUCAGGCAAGUGGAAGUAGUGGAAGUCACCACACAGUUGCUGUACCGAGGAAGCGCUCUGAAAGAUCAGUGUCUUUAGCUUCCAUGCCAUUGAAACAGCCUGGUCAACCCCACAACGUAACCACUAAGGCUGGCUCAGCCAGUCGCCUAUGUGCAACCAAAUCCAAGACUUCAAAGCCAGCUAAGGAACCGAGAUCACAGAAACAUACAAGGAUGCUGAAGGAGGUGGUUGCUGACGUUCUUCAAAAACAUGGAAUUGCAGAAGAUCAUAAGUGCUUUGUAUCAUGCAGCCAGCGUCUCUUUGAGAUAUCAAAGUUCUACUUAAAGGAUCUUAAAACUUCUAGAGGACUUCUUGAUGAAAUGAAGAAAACGGCAAAUAACAAUGCUAAACAGGUGAUUGAAUGGGUUUUGGAGAAGACUGGCAAGUAGAGGUACUGCAUGGUUGCUAUUGAUACCUUCCUAGGAAGCGUGGAGGCAGAGCACUUCUGGUUUGAAGUACAAGCAACAGAGACAGCACUGUAACUUCAGCCGGUGAGCCUCAGCAGCCUGUCCUAGAACAUCCCUGUGGCCUUGCAAUAAAUGCCAGCAGCCAAAAGAAAUGCUGUGUACUUACUCUUCCAGCCAUCGGCAACAGCGCUGCUAUGGCACGAACACCGAGCUUACUUAAUAGAAAGCACCAAUGCACCAUUGACAGUACAUUAAUACGUUUUUUUUAUUUUGAAUUUUUAAAAGUCAUUCCAUCAAUACGAUGAAUAGUUCUCUCAAGUAACUGAAUUCUUAACAGAAUGACUGAAGUUUAAAUGUAUUUUUCCCCGGCCCCAAACCAAAGGACAGCCUCCAAACAGCUUGUUUGGGUACAAAGUAAGCUCACCUCACAAAAAUCCAAUAAAUGACUUUAUUAAAUAUAUUCUUUUCCUCUAAAAUAUAAAUAUUCACUAUACUCUUAUAAAUGUGGAGUAGGCUCAUAUUUCAUUUGUCUAUCCCAUCCAAAUAUGAAUCAGUCCAAAAUCUGAAAAUGAAGAAAUAGCAUCUGUAAUUAUCAUUAUUUUUUCUAUAAAUAUAUAUAAUAUGAAUUUUCUUUGCAAACUGUUUAGUUAUUCACUUAUACUUCAUAUAGUACUGAGCACCUUAGAUUACAUAUUGUAUCAUUUAAUUGUUGGUACUAAUACAGGGAUUUGUAAUAUUUACAAUGCACAUACAUGUUAAGUAUAACAUUCCAGUGAUUUGUAAGUGUUAAAGGAAAAAGGAAAUAGUGCAGUAUAGUUUAUAUACGUAUUUAACCUACCCCACAGUAUGCAAGUUUUCACUUUAACCUCUGGAACUUUCAUAGGAGCCUGUGUCCAAAUUUUUAAGUUAUACUUUGGAAUAGCAAUAAAAAUGUCCUGAUUUGCUUUUUAAAAACUUCACACAACAGUUUACUUGGUGACGUGAUGUGAGUUCGUACUCGAAGACCAGUCCCCCAGCGUACCGACUGCUCUCAGCUCCUCAGAAGUUGCUCUCCUAGAAGCUCCCAAGCCAAAGGAGACCCAAGUAACUGCCACAGAAAGCCACGUGAACAGCAGUGGUUGCUAAAUGAGAAAUAUCCAUUUGGAAAUUAAUUGCUAAGUUAUGGAACGUGUUAUCUUCUACCUUGUGAAUUUACACGAGGAAUUAAUAUUGAAGUGAGUACCGUGACAGUAAAACCAAAGUUCACAGCUAGAUGAAUCCCCUCCCAGGCUUGCUUUUGACCGGUGAGAGGUGCUGGGAGUAGGGCUGCUCUUCCACAUGGCGAUUUAGCUGUUGUUCUUCGAUGACUAUGUUCUGUAUUUGGGAAGUCAGCCUAUCACUGUAAAUUUUUAAUUAGUUUCAGUGAUUAAGAUACCUAUGGAAACCACCAAGAACUAAUU